rnacentral:rRNA from 1 species
GACAGAGGUGCCAAGCGUUAGGCGGAAUCACUGGGCUUGAAGCGUGUGUAGGCGGGUCGUUAAGUACCUUGUGAAAUCCCACGGCUCAACCGUGGAACGGCUGGGUAUACUGGCGAUCUUGAGCCACCUAGGGGCAGUCGGAACAAGUGGUGGAGCGGUGAAAUGCGUAGAUAUCACUUGGAACGCCAAUGGUGAAAACAGACUGCUGGGGGUGUGCUGACGCUGAGACACGAAAGCCAGGGGAGCAAACGGG